rnacentral:lncRNA from 1 species
UUCUUUCACAAGAGAUACUUUAAUGCAGAAACAAAGUUGUGAUAAGUAUCACUUUUCUUAUUUCUAUAAAGUAUAUUUAAACAAAUUUCUCAGGCGAAACCUUCCAAGUUGUAUUUUUCAACUUUUUGAGUUAAGAAUUAGGAAGAUAAACAUAGAGUUUCAAAUCUCACCACCAUUUAAUAAUGCUAGAUGGGAGUACUGUGUUGUAUUAUCUUUAUCUUACCAUUAUUGUCAUCAUCUAAUAAGACAAAAACCUUGUGAAGUGGUCCCCUUCUGGUGUUUGAGUCGGUACUAGAGCUUACUUAGGAAAUGCAAGACUCCGCCUUCUUUCAAGGAACCUUCAGCGGGUAAGAAUUAUCUUGAUGUUCCUAUUUAUCUUCCAUUUCUGAUCUGCUAAGCCAUGCAAAACUGAGGGGUGAGAGGCCAAAUGUCUCCCUCAUGGGGAGUUCAAGGAAGUGGGGCAAAUUGAAAGAAGGAAGGAACUGCACUCGUGCAUGCAAUAUCUUUUCUCUUCCUGGUAAGAGUGAGUUCAAGAGAACUCAUGGAAGAAUCAUUGCUUGUCCAAAUGCCCACACAGCCAAAGCCCUGGCUUCCAUACCUCAUAAUGCAACCCUAGUGGUCACACCACAGGAAUGCAAGCCCUUUCAUCCGAGAGUCACAGACCACAGUGGACACCUUGACCGGCUCCCCAGGAAACACUGGUCAGAAGGACAUCAGUGCAGCUCAGGCCAAAGUCACCCUCCAAGACAAGUUGAGAACAGUAUAAAGAAACAUGUGCUCAGGGCAGUAUUUCUCCAGAGAGCUAUUUCAGAUUCCACAGAAGAGUAACUGGUGGCCUUGGAUAAAUCAUUCCUCUCAUUUAUGUGCUGAACGGGAGAAAACAAGUCAACAACUGAUGCAUGCAAAAGCAUUUGGAGGUGAUGGAUGGAGACAUUAUGGCGCAUUUCGUCAAUGGCAUGCCAUUAGAGAAAACCAUUUCAUAGAGUAAAUUAAGAAAACAAACCAGCUACGUGACACACUUGGAAUUGCCACUGGCCAGACUGGUUUUUCUCCUUCAGGAAUGAAGCUGCCUGGGAUUGACAUUAUCAUUAUCACUCAGACUCCCUUUCCUAGGUUAGCUGCCAGUGCUUGUCUGAGACUUCAAUCCCCGGCCAGCACUUCCCCAUACGGAUGGCCACUCACAUAACUGGACAAACCGAUCACAGGCCCUGAUUUUCUUUUAUUGCUCUUUUGAACUAUUAUUUAAACCUUACUGCUAUUUAACUUCAUUGUGUCAAUAUAUUGUCUUCUUCACCAAAUUAUAAGGACCUUUCAUGACAAGAACAGAGUCUUGCAAAUGAAGCGUACUGGUCUGGCACUGUGCCUAUCAUGUGCAGGAAAUGUCUAUUGAUUUCAUCUGUGAUUAAUUUCUCCUAUCUUUUUCACAUACCUGGCUAUUGUCUGCCAAACACUGAUUAAUUCAUUAAGAAAGCAUGUCUUCAGACCUAGAUGCUGGGAAUGCAAAAGACAUGGUCACUGAACUCGGGGAGCUCACAGGCACACAAGCAACAGUCGGAACAAGAUGCGAGUGGAAGUGCUCGCGGGGGACGUGGCAGUAUGGAAAGGAGGCGUUCUGGGUAUGGGCAGGGGGAUUCAGGAAAGGCCUCUAGGAAAAAGGAGUCCUUUUGAGGAUUAAGUACUUGGUACCAGAGCAUUAUAGCCAAUGUGGGCCAGGGCAUGUUGGUGAGCCCAAGCAUGGAGAAUUUGGGUUCCAAGUCAUUUGCUAUUUUAGAAGCUUCUACUGAAAAUCUCAACCUAUCCUCAAGGUCAUCCACUAAGGUCAGGGCAGAAAUGGGCUAUGAAAUUACAGGCCCCUUCCCUUGGUAAACGGGCUUGAGAGCACUCGGAUGCACCUCAUGGUAACCGUGGCUUCAUAAAAAUCAAAGCUGAUUGAUGGGUGCAGGCUCUCUGCCUCUCCGUGUUUAGUCUAUUCGUGCUUUUAGUACCACUGUGGCCAUGCUUCCUAAUGGAAAUGCAUUUCUCUCUCUCACCAUUACCCAGAUAUAGAUGCUCUCAGAUAUGAAAGGCCUUUUACCUCAAGAUUUUUGUCUUGUAAGACAUCCCUAAUUCAGGAAGGAAACAAGGAGGAGUUGCGAAGAACCUACCACAAAUGUUUUGUCUUGUAUUUGAGAGGGCGGCGGGGUGGGGGUGGGGGUAAUUAAAGGGCUCAAUUUUUGUAUGGCAUGGGCUUGCAGCUCCAUUACCUUGACUCAGUUCAGUUCAAGGAAUUCACUUUCUCUUGUGAAAGACUCUGAAUAACCUGGAAAAAUAAGCUAAUGUUUCCUUUUUCACCCCCCCAGCCCUUUUCUUUUGCUUUAAGAAAUUGUGAUGGAUAGCAUAAUAAAAUCUUGCAUGUAUAAUGAGAGAGAGCUCUGUGGCCCAGGAGCCUAGUGAUAUUAUCAUAUUAAUUCCAAUAAAUCCACGAUGAGGUGGGAAUUCUUCCCAUUAUACAGAUGUGGAACAGGAGCCUGAGCAAAGUACAGCAGGACAUCCAGGCUACCCAGAAGGCAAAUGGCAUUGCUGGGGUUUGAAAGCAAGCACAUCGGAUUCCAAAGUCAGGGGCUCUUACGGACACCCAACAGGUUUCAGACUGGACAUAUCCGUGUAUGUCAAAACACGUGACAAAAGAGCAACAUCUCUCUUGUGGGAGGAGGAAUUGGCUGCCUGUCUGUCGGUUAUAGGUGGACUGGUUGAAAGGAAACAAAGUGACUCAUCAUGGGAACACUUGGAGGUCAGAUUCUAAGGUCUAAUAAUAAUCUGGCUUAAUAAUAAGAAGCCACAGAUAGGCAGGUUGCUGUUCUCUGGUGAAAAAUCAUAUUAUGUCUGGCCAAACUGAUCUCUCCAUCUGUGACUAAUUCCUGAAUGUCAAACUGAAAAAGCAGUUCAAGUUCAAAAUUAAGAGCCGAAGGCAGCCCGGGUGGCUCAGCAGUUUAGCACCACCUUCAGCCCAGGGCGUGCUAAACCGCUGCGCCACCCAGGGAUCCCCUAGGGAGCUAUUUCUUUUGAUUUACUGUGUGACCAUGGUGGUGCCACUGACCCUCUCUGAACCUCUCUUGAGUUGCGGAGCCUGACUUGACAAUGGACACCAGGGAAGAGUGAGGCUUUGCAGAGAGGCUUUUGGAUCAGUGUGGUUUUCUCUUCCAUGGAAAGGCAGGACAUGAGCAGAAAGGUAGAGAUAACAUCUUGAAAAGGAAGGGGAAGAACCUUGUCAGAGAGUGGACACACAGGUAGCAGUCUUGCUACUUCAUCAUCAAGUAGGAGAAAAAACAUUUUGCAUUUAGAAGCUGACAUCCAAAAGUGGGCCUGGAACCUUCUAUAAAACCGCCUAUUAACAAUGUCCAGUCCUGGAACCCUCCCCUCAUCCAACUGCUUUCCGCUCUGUGCCCAGCCAUGUUUCCAAAGCCUCAAGCUUAUAGCCAAAUCCUCAAAACAAAGUAGACCUUAAUUCACUUUGUUUUAAUAACUCAACAAAAA